rnacentral:rRNA from 1 species
AUGAACGCUGGCGGCGUGCCUAAUACAUGCAAGUCGAGCGAACGGACGAGAAGCUUGCUUCUCUGAUGUUAGCGGCGGACGGGUGAGUAACACGUGGAUAACCUACCUAUAAGACUGGGAUAACUUCGGGAAACCGGAGCUAAUACCGGAUAAUAUUUUGAACCGCAUGGUUCAAAAGUGAAAGACGGUCUUGCUGUCACUUAUAGAUGGAUCCGCGCUGCAUUAGCUAGUUGGUAAGGUAACGGCUUACCAAGGCAACGAUGCAUAGCCGACCUGAGAGGGUGAUCGGCCACACUGGAGCUGAGACACGGUCCAGACUCCUACGGGAGGCAGCAGUAGGGAAUCUUCCGCAAUGGGCGAAAGCCUGACGGAGCAACGCCGCGUGAGUGAUGAAGGUCUUCGGAUCGUAAAACUCUGUUAUUAGGGAAGAACAUAUGUGUAAGUAACUGUGCACAUCUUGACGGUACCUAAUCAGAAAGCCACGGCUAACUACGU